rnacentral:rRNA from 1 species
UACAGAGGUCUCAAGCGUUGUUCGGAUUCAUUGGGCGUAAAGGGCUCGUAGGCGGCCAACUAAGUCAGACGUGAAAUCCCUCGGCUUAACCGGGGAACUGCGUCUGAUACUGGAUGGCUUGAGUUUGGGAGAGGGAUGCGGAAUUCCAGGUGUAGCGGUGAAAUGCGUAGAUAUCUGGAGGAACACCGGUGGCGAAGGCGGCAUCCUGGACCAACACUGACGCUGAGUGAGCGAAAAGCCAGGGGAGCAAACAGG